GGCUUCCUGCCCUUUACUCGGGGAUAGCCUUUCGAAAGAAAGAUUAAUACCCGAUAGUAUAAUGAUUCCGCAUGGUUUCAUUAUUAAAGGAUUCCGGUAAAGGAUGGGGAUGCGUUCCAUUAGGUUGUUGGUGAGGUAACGGCCCACCAAGCCUUCGAUGGAUAGGGGUUCUGAGAGGAAGGUCCCCCACAUUGGAACUGAGACACGGUCCAAACUCCUACGGGAGGCAGCAGUGAGGAAUAUUGGUCAAUGGGCGUUAGCCUGAACCAGCCAAGUAGCGUGAAGGAUGAAGGCUCUAUGGGUCGUAAACUUCUUUUAUAUAAGAAUAAAGUGCAGUAUGUAUACUGUUUUGUAUGUAUUAUAUGAAUAAGGAUCGGCUAACUCCGUGCCAGCAGCCGCGGUAAUACGGAGGAUCCGAGCGUUAUCCGGAUUUAUUGGGUUUAAAGGGAGCGUAGGUGGACUGGUAAGUCAGUUGUGAAAGUUUGCGGCUCAACCGUAAAAUUGCAGUUGAUACUGUCAGUCUUGAGUACAGUAGAGGUGGGCG
rnacentral:rRNA from 1 species